UGGGGAAUUUUGGACAAUGGGCGCAAGCCUGAUCCAGCCAUGUCGCGUGCGGGAAGAAGGCCUUCGGGUUGUAAACCGCUUUGUCAGGGAAGAAAUCUUCUGAGUUAAUACCUCGGGAGGAUGACGGUACCUGAAGAAUAAGCACCGGCUAACUACGUGCCAGCAGCCGCGGUAAUACGUAGGGUGCAAGCGUUAAUCGGAAUUACUGGGCGUAAAGCGUGCGCAGGCGGUUUUGUAAGACAGAGGUGAAAUCCCCGGGCUCAACCUGGGAACUGCCUUUGUGACUGCAAGGCUUGAGUGCGGCAGAGGGGGGAUGGAAUUCCGCGUGUAGCAGUGAAAUGCGUAGAUAUGCGGAGGAACACCGAUGGCGAAGGCAAUCCCCUGGGCCUGCACUGACGCUCAUGCACGAAAGCGUGGGGAGCAAACAGGAUUAGAUACCCUGGUAGUCCACGCCCUAAACGAUGUCAACUGGUUGUUGGGAAGGUUCCUUCUCAGUAACGUAGCUAACGCGUGAAGUUGACCGCCUGGGGAGUACGGCCGCAAGGUUG
rnacentral:rRNA from 1 species